rnacentral:lncRNA from 1 species
AACUUAUGAUGUCUCUGCCCCUUUUCUCUUAUACCUGAUCCCCCACCCCAAACCCUCUCUUACAACUCAAUACACAUACCCUCUUUUCUCUAUUCCAAAAGAACCCCAACCUUUCUACUCUCAUAUCAUCGACACCCAACUCCCCCCACUUUAACCCUUUUCUCCCUUCUAACAGCUGCCCCUCACAUACCAUACUUGCAACUGCACCAAGUAAGGGCACUUGUUUACAUUUAUAUUGGGUUAUUUGAGUUUUUUUUGUUAUAUAGUAGUUUUCUUCUUAUUUUGUAGUAAAGUUCUUCUAGUAGUGUGCUCUGGUUAUGCUGGUGGGUUGUCAAAGUUAUAAUUAACGUGUCCCUUUACAUGUGCGAUUGACAUUGGUUUAUUUGUGGUUGAGUUGAGAUUAUCAAGUUGUUAUUUAGGGGUUCUGGUGAAUUGUGCACAUCAAGUUUUUGUUUAAAUGCCACAGUGAGUCGUGAUUGUAAUAUGUGACCAAUUGUAUGGAUGAAGUCUGAGUAACUGCCUUUGGUUCACAUCUCGUGUGUUUCGCUGCUGAUGAUCUUUAUUUUAGGUAGUAUGACGCCAUCCAAGAAACAUCAAACCACUGGUGCUUCCUCCGGUGGCCAAGUUGUAUCCUCCAGACCACGAACUUGAACUCCGGCUCGUCAGUAUAAUAGUUCCAAGUCUGUCUCCAGCGCAGCUUAGGACUGUUUUGGUCACAAGGCAUACAAUAAGCCCAUAUCGGAUAGGGGUAUUGACAUAGGGUCUCUGCAAUAUCAAUGUCCCAGCAUGUACAAUGAAUUGGUCCGGCGCAGGCUGGAUAUUUUAUUUAUAAGGACCGGAUGAAGCUAAGUUGAUGGUUGUGCGGGAGUUUUACGUGAACCUUCUAUAACAUGUGAACGAUGUGUGCACGGUGGGAAAGAAAAAUAUGGACUCAUCUAUUGAGUCCAUUCGGAGAGCUUACCGGCUGCUUAUGUUCGGGCACGACCCUGGGGAGAAGGACUACUACGAAGCCCAUGACAAACGAUUCACCAUGUGGGACUUGUUCUUUGAAACAAUGUGUGUGCCCAACAAGGAAGUUGUGUGGAUUAUACUUGGGAAGAAGUUUUAUUUGGAGGCAUUCACCUUUGAAGGGAAGUGUUAGCUGUAUGUUAUUAAUAUCUGCAUGUUCCUUUCUUCUAACACCACUGAAGUGAAUGGUCCCAGAGCUGCAUUGAUCUGGUGCUUCAGGAAUAGCCACGAUUUUGACAUGGCCAAGAUUUUUCAUUGAGUAGUGUAGAGGUAUGGUUUCUUCUUCCCUUCCCUAGUUAAUAGAUUAUGCCAGGCAGCACGGGUACUGGAGAACUUGAGCGUGGAUGGAAAAGUGAAGAAAGAAUCGAUGUUUCGGGUGGAUAAAGUGACUAUUGUGAAGGACCUUGUGGAACCUGGAGGUGCUAAUAGUGAUUCUUAUACACCCGAUGAGGGAGAUGUAGAGUAGGAUGAAUCGGGGGCUGAGUCCCCCAGCCAUGAGUGAGUUGCAGAAGCCAAAGUACUGUCUAGGGUCGGUCAGAAUAUGCAGUUGGCAGCCUUAGAGCAGGAAAUGCUAGGGGUACAUUAUCACGGACUUGGGGACUAGAGUUGAUUCCUUGAACGCCCAAAAUGCUAAAGAAGAGAAUAAAAUCAUGGGUUGGCUACGUGCGCUGGGCAGGGCGUGGCAUUUAUACCCCGAGCACUGUCUCCGAUCCAUAUUGGUCUUCCAGGGAAGUUUCGUUGCCUCACAUUACUUUCUUUUUUAUGAAAUGAGGACAUGACAUCUUGUUAAGUGUAGGGUGAGGGGUACUGAGUUUGUAUGUUGUAUAUAUAUAGGAAUAUAGCUUGUUCUUGGUCUUUGGUUAGUUGUCUGAAUGUGAACCGGCUUAGACAAAUCUUUUUUGUUGAUAACCUCAAACCAAUCAAUCGAAUAUUGAUUAAUACGCAUUCGAUUGAACACUACUUAAAACGUCUCUUUUGCUCCAAAACGGACUGUUCCAAAUGUUCCUGGAAGUUUUUGUUCCCAUUGGACCAUUUGUAUCUAUAUGCAUCAGGAUCCCGAUUCAUGGAUCUCUCAGUUCAAGAAAUCAAAAUAAGAGUGAAAAUGUGAAAAAUUCUAAAUGUAUCUUCGUUUGUAUGUUAUAUAUAUAGGAAUACUACUUGAUCUUGGUCUUUGGUUAGUUGUCUAAAUGUGUGAAUGUGUGGAAUUCAAAAAUUUUGACUUGUCCAAAUGACGGAUAUCACUCAACGGGUUUCUUGAGGGUCUAAGUUGAUAUAUAAAUAAAAAAUUAUUCUGUAGGUAGUGUAUCAGUUGUCCCUAGAUUUUUCUUUGGACCGUGAUUCUUUUCGAAGGGUUUUUGUUUGAAAAAGGGUUAGUUAGUUUUUAGCUUUUAGUUAGGUACUUGUGGGUUAUGGGCAAAUAUGGAAGGAGGAUCUCUUAACGUCAUUAUGCCUUGAAUAUAGUAGAUACUUAGUGUGACGCUUAGGCUCAAUUGUUGAUUCUUGUUAGAGUACCUUAAAAUGUAUGUUCUUAACUUGGCAUAAGUACUCCGACUAGAGUGUUUCGAUAAUCCAAUUUGUAGUGAGUCAUGUGCCAUGUGUGUGUGACAAUUAUUAUAUUCUGUAUACUGUAUUUAAUGCCUAGAACUUGUCUCGUGUGUUUACAAAACAAAAUAGUAGUUUUGUUCAAUCUUGGAAAUGAUAUAGACAUUUAUUUGUUGAGCCAAAUAUGUAUAAUCUACCUGCUAAUUGUUAUAUAUCUUAGUUAACCCCUUUGAGCCUUUAAUCCUAUUUUAUUGACAACUACAUUACAAGCACUACCCAUUUAUUUGAAUUAACCAUCUAUUUAAAUCUUUUAACCUCUCAUGAGCACUUGAAUUGAUAGGAACCUGGUAAAAGUUAAAGUGUAGGUGGGUGGUUUGGCUUUUGAGUGGAACUAAUGAUAUAACUAGAAGGGUGCACUGGCUUGAAAAUGUAAGAGCCACGAGAGAAAAAAGAGAGAAAAGAAAGGAAAAAAUAUUUGCAUUAUUGACAAAAAAAUCUAACAAUACAGAUAAGUGGUGGCUCUUGAGGUAAGUAUGCUUAAAGAAGUAUGGGGCAACACACAUUGAUGAAAAGGUGGAGUUUCAUUUGACUUAAACAUGGUCUUAAAUGUUAAAAUGUAUGUAUUAGUGUUUUGAGGGAGGUGUAGUCACUAUUAUAUGUAACUGUAUCAUACUCGUCCCGCAACCUACAUUACAACCAAAUGAAUUCCUACUUGAUCCUAGACUGAAUGAGCUCGAUUAGUGGAGUAUUAAACUACGAGCAAGUCUAUGGUGCAUUUUUUAUGGCAUAUGAAUGUUUGUUCUAAGAAUGAGUGAGUUCUUUCUAUAUUGAGUUCCUAAUUGUUCUUAACUUUCAUUGUGUGUGGAACUACUCUUGUUUGUUAUGAGAGGGCACUUGAUUCGUGAAGGAGAGGUGACUCUUAACCUCUGCGUUAGAGUAAGUAAGUAAGUUAAGAAUAUUGCGGGUCAUCUGAGAGUCAACUCCUGAGCGAAGAUGAUACACUACCAGGCUCAAUCCUUGUGAUAUGUUCUUGGUGUGAUGAGUUAGAGAAGUUGCUUAGUAAAGUAGGCCUCUGUAGAGUAUGGUUUGAUUGCUCAGGGACGAGUAAUGGUCUAUGUUUGGGGUGUUGAUAGUAGGCAAUAAUUAUGUAGUUUAGCUAUUAUAUACGCUUCAACUUGCCUAUACUUUAUUGUUAUAUGAAUGCUAAAUGACAACGAAUGGCUCUAAUAAUGAACUUUGUUCUUUGCAGGAGCAAUUCCUGGCUAUGAGGACAUUAAAGAGUAUUUUGAAGUUAAUUUAGAGCAACGAAGACCAAUCAGAGGUGAGCGCGCACAAAAGAAGAAAAACAUGGAAGGCAAAAUUGAACUCUAGGAGUGCGGUCCAUCCUCAGCCGCGCUCAUCAGGCUCAGUGAAAAGCAAUAUGCACGGCCCAUCCACGGUCCGUCCGCAGCCGCACUAGCCCCUCCGAGGAUUUUUAUUUCAGUGGUAAAUUCUUAAGUUUACAGGCAACUCUCCUUGACCUAUAAGAACCCCCAGCUCGCCUAAAAAGAAGGUAUCGAGGUUUUUGAAAUAUUUUUAAAGGUAAGAACAGGCAAUAAGCAAGGCGGAAGAUUCGACAUAGACUUUUUACCUUUCUUCCUUUUGUUUUUAUCAUUGACAAUGAAUUCUAUUGUUAUAAUUGUGAAAACGAUUAUGCAUAGCUAAACCCCUAAUCUAGGGUUUUGAUGGAACCUCUUGGAGCAUGAAUUUCUAGUUAUGUUAAUAUGAAUUUCCUAUAAUAUUUACUUUGUUUGUUUAACUAUAUUGUGAUUGAGGUUGAUUGAAGGACCCUCAAUCGACUGUGCCUAUUUAGUAUGUAUUACUCGGAAGAGAGUUCAUAUUUAAGUAGUUGUUGAACAACAUCACUUCUAACGUAUAUGAAGUAUCAAUACGAAGGGUUUUAAGGUGGGAUUUGAGAUAACGGAACCUUGGGUGCGAUCUAAGUGGGCUGUAACUAAGGCCAACUAGUGUAAUUCGGGAGAAUAUGUCUAGUAUAUUGUUGUAAUUAUUCAGGAGGGAGUUAUGAAAGUCAGAGUGUUCAAU